AUGAACGCUGGCGGCGUGCCUAAUACAUGCAAGUCGAGCGAACGGACGAGAAGCUUGCUUCUCUGAUGUUAUCGGCGGACGGGUGAGUAACACGUGGAUAACCUACCUAUAAGACUGGGAUAACUUCGGGAAACCGGAGCUAAUACCGGAUGAUAUUUUGAACCGCAUGGUUCAAAAGUGAAAGACGGUCUUGCUGUCACUUAUAGAUGGAUCCGCGCUGCAUUAGCUAGUUGGUAAGGUAACGGCUUACCAAGGCAACGAUGCAUAGCCGACCUGAGAGGGUGAUCGGCCACACUGGAACUGAGACACGGUCCAGACUCCUACGGGAGGCAGCAGUAGGGAAUCUUCCGCAAAGGGCGAAAGCCUGACGGAGCAACGCCGCGUGAGUGAUGAAGGUCUUCGGAUCGUAAAACUCUGUUAUUAGGGAAGAACAUAUGUGUAAGUAACUGUGCACAUCUUGACGGUACCUAAUCAGAAAGCCACGGCUAACUACGUG
rnacentral:rRNA from 1 species